AACGAACGCUGGCGGCAGGCCUAACACAUGCAAGUCGAGCGCGCCCUUCGGGGUGAGCGGCGGACGGGUGAGUAACGCGUGGGAACGUGCCCUUUUCUACGGAAUAGCCUCGGGAAACUGAGAGUAAUACCGUAUACGCCCUUUGGGGGAAAGAUUUAUCGGAAAAGGAUCGGCCCGCGUUGGAUUAGGUAGUUGGUGGGGUAAUGGCCUACCAAGCCGACGAUCCAUAGCUGGUUUGAGAGGAUGAUCAGCCACACUGGGACUGAGACACGGCCCAGACUCCUACGGGAGGCAGCAGUGGGGAAUCUUAGACAAUGGGGGCAACCCUGAUCUAGCCAUGCCGCGUGAGUCAUGAAGGCCUUAGGGUUGUAAAGCUCUUUCAGCUGGGAAGAUAAUGACGGUACCAGCAGAAGAAGCCCCGGCUAACUCCGUG
rnacentral:rRNA from 1 species